UAGGGAAUUUUGCGCAAUGGGCGAAAGCCUGACGCAGCAACACCGCGUGAGCGACGAAGCCCCUUGGGGUGUAAAGCUCUGUCAGUGGGGACGAAGCCUGACGGUACCCACAGAGGAAGCAUCGGCUAACUACGUGCCAGCAGCCGCGGUAAGACGUAGGAUGCGAGCGUUGUCCGGAAUCAUUGGGCGUAAAGAGUUCGUAGGCGGUAUAUCAAGUCUGGUGUUAAAGUCCGGAGCUCAACUUCGGGAAGGCACUGGAAACUGAUAAACUAGAGUGCAGUAGAGGCAAGGGGAAUUCCUAGUGUAGCGGUGAAAUGCGUAGAUAUUAGGAGGAACACCGGUGGCGUAAGCGCCUUGCUGGGCUGUUACUGACGCUGAGGAACGAAAGCCAGGGGAGCGAAUGGG
rnacentral:rRNA from 1 species